rnacentral:lncRNA from 1 species
UUUAUGCCACUGCACUCCAGCCUGGGCAACAGAGUGAGACCCCGUCUCUCAAUCAAUCAAUCAAAUCCCAGGUACAUUUUAAGAUACUCCCAUAACCAAAAACGUAGGGCUGAAGAAUAAUAUGCAAAUAAAAAAAUAGUCUCAAAACUGAAGUGAAAGUAAAAAUGUGGAAAGAAGAAAGCCUUUGAAUACAAUAUGUUGGCAUAAUUUAUUAUUUCCUCUCUCUAAUCGUGUUUGGAAAAGAAGUUAUCUAAAUCCCAGGCAAAUAGAUAUUGGAACUCUGGAAUUUCUAUGUAAAUAAUACCCAUUUGCUAUAGAGUUCUUUAAUGAAGAACUUACUUUUACAAAAUUAUGGACAAUAUUAACAUUACCAGAAAUAAUCUCCAAUACAAUCUUUAGCAAUUUAGCAGUUAACUUCAUCUCAUCAAAACAUGUUCAGACUUGGACCUUCUAUUUUUGCAUUUUCUUAUUUUAGUUUCAAGAAAAUUCUUAAGUGAUUUCUUUUGUUUUUAGUGCCUAAUUUUAAAACAUCAUGCUCUUGGGUGAGACAUAACAUGUCCAUGUAUGAAAUUAAGCAUAGAAAGAAGGGUUAAAUUAUAAUAGCUUUUUGGAGUAAAGAAUGAAGAGGGCAAACGUGAUGAGGAAAAAGAGACUGUCAGUAAUUGCAAUGCACACACAAGGGAGAGCAGGCACAGUGAACAUUUCAGGGACAAGAUGGAAAGUGUACUCUGCACAGAGACUCUAUACUGUGAAAAGAGGGAGAAUCAAUUUAUGGGCCAAGAAAGACCUGGACAAAAUUAUACAUUUUGAAGGAAAUCACUUGUGCUGAAGCAAUGAAAACUUUCUGGAGAGCUAUUUGAGGAGGCAGAUGUUUAGGUAAUAUAUUGCUGCUUUGCAUUUCUAUAACACCUUCCAUGUAAGAGCUGCAGAGUGUAACACAAACAUUAAUAAAUUAAGCCUCGUGGCACCUCUGCAUGAUCGAUAGACAUAACAGCCAUUUUUAUAGUGUAGGAAAGGCAGCACCCUGCUCAAAAGUGCUGAAGUCAUUUACCCAAGGUCAUGAAGUGGGGGGGAAAUUGGCAAAGUGUUUCAAAAUGGAGCGUUGCGUCUCGCCACACUCACACAACCUGCCUCCUUCAAUGGGGUCAUAGAAGGAAAGAAUGGGGUGCCAUGUAUGCCCUGGUUUCCAAUGAUUCACUUCAGGAGAUAUAUCUGUAAUUUAACUUGAAGAUGGUUUGGAAAUAGUAAGUCUUAGAUCAAAGGCUUAACUCCUUUCUCUCUGGUUUACUCGGGAAUUAAUUUGUUUGCUAAUGCUGGUCUCUCCUGGGAUCACACUGGCCUUUAGCUGUAGAGUUUUGUGUUCAUGUUACUUAAUCUGAUUAUGCAAAGGACUUAAAAUAUUUCAAGAAUAUCAAACAACACAAACAUGUCUAUGUAGGCAUUAAUGUAAUUAUUUUGUUAUUUUAGUUUCUAAAAAACUCAUAAAAUUGCAAUUGAAAAUAGUGUGCCAACUUUACAAAGGAUAAUGCCAAGUCCGUAACAGAAUCUCUUUAUUUAUUUUUUUCACUUUGGUCAGACAUCACUAUAUAUCUUCCUAAAUGCAACUCCUCUCCAUUAUCAACCUUGGCUUGGUAAUAGCCUGUUCCAUAGUAACAUUGUCUUUUAUUCCUCUUUCUCUCUGAUAACCACGUAUUUUCUCCAUUAGAAGAAUUGGCAGAGAGAAAACAAAGUAAGGAAAUCAAAUAUAAAUUCCCAGUGCUCCUAAUAUCUCUUGGAAAGAAAAUGGACACCUCUGUUAACAAAGUUAUGAUGAUUUCUACCUCGGUACACAUUUUCGAACUUCUCAGAGAGGAACCAGCUCACCUGUAAGUCACUCAUGUUCUCAAUUUCCAUUUUUUUUUUCUAUAGCAAGAAAAAGAAGACCUUUUUUUUUUUCAUUGAAGCAAGGCAUAAGGCACUUGUCACUGUUUAACAUUCAGCCUCAUUUCUUUUCCAGAGCGGUCCUUUGAGAGCAUUAGCACUCACACCCCAUACAACUAGAACUCAUGACACUGGCAAAUGGUGUUUCUAGAGUGCUUUGCAUUGCCCGACAUGUUCUCACCCUGUUUUCUCCCCAAUCCUUACAAUUCUCCAAAUGCAAGUGCAAACUGGGGUGCUGUCAAGCAGCCUGGUGCUUAAAGGGCAGAGCCAGGAUGGACCCAGAUUCUGGUUUCCACCAUGUGCCUGAUGGAUACCAUGCGGAUGUGGAGCAGGAAACACUGGGUGCAAAUCCCCACCAGGAACUGUUCAUCCUGAAAAAAACCUGCUGCACAUUGCCCUGGUCACCUCAACGAAAAAUGGGUCAAAAUCAAAGUUGAUGAUCAGUCAUAUGAUCUUCAGCAGCCCUGGAAGGGUGUGAGUUCUCGGCAUCCCAUGCAGGAGCUCUGAAUGUACAAGAGGUGCUGAGGAGGGAGCAUGCGCCGGUGCCAAACGCUGGAUGACCUCACUAUCCUCAUGGAAAAGGAGGUGAAUACCACUGCCUUCUUUCUGUGUCCAAGCAAGUUAUGACUGGAAUGGAAAGUAUAGCCACCCGGGGCUGUCAGUACCCCUACCUACUCAAUUGCAGACAUGUUGAUACAGAACAUGAUCAUCGAAUUCCAGUGAAGCCACAGUGAUGGGAGUCCAGCAAGAGUAAAAGCAAGUAGAAGGAAGAAGCCCAGAAAAACCAAAGCGCCUAAGGCCCAUGAAAGCUGUAAUGACUCCUUACCAUGAAGUUCUCUCUCCUGAUACCAUGUGGAGAAGAUCCUUACUUCCUCUUCACCUUCCACCAUGAUUGUGAGUUUCCUGAGGCCUUCCCAGCCAUGCGGAAC